rnacentral:tRNA from 1 species
GGCGGAGAGAGUUCGAUAGGCUGAACAAUAGAUUGUGAAUCUAAAAGUUGCGGGUUCGAGUCCCGUUCUUCGCCA